rnacentral:rRNA from 1 species
GAUGAACGCUAGCGGGAGGCUUAACACAUGCAAGUCGAGCGGGAUUGGUAGCAAUACCAUGAGAGCGGCGCACGGGUGCGUAACGCGUAUGCAACCUGCCUUAUACAAAGGGAUAGCCCAUGGAAACGUGGAUUAAUAUCUUAUAGGACUUAAUAAUCGCAUGGUUAAUAAGUUAAAACUACGGUGGUAUAAGAUGGGCAUGCGUCUGAUUAGGUAGUUGGUAGGGUAACGGCCUACCAAGGCAACGAUGUUUAGGGGUCCUGAGAGGGUGAUCCCCCA